UACAUGUGGGGCAAGCGUUGUUCGGAAUUACUGGGCAUAAAGGGUGCGUAGGCGGUUUGUUAAGUCACUGGUGAAAGUUUUCGGCCCAACCGGAAAAUUGCCUGUGAUACUGGCGAACUUGAGUGCGUGAGGGGUGGGGGGAACGAGCAGUGUAGCGGUGAAAUGCGUAGAUAUUGGGUGGAACACCGGUGGCGAAAGCGGCCAACUGGACCAUCACUGACGCUGAGGCGCGAAAGCGUGGGGAGCAAACAGG
rnacentral:rRNA from 1 species